CAGCAGCCGCGGGAAUACGAAGGGGGCUAGCGUUGUUCGGAUUAACUGGGCGUAAAGGGUGCGUAGGCGGGUUUUUAAGUCAGGGGUGAAAUCCCGGGGCUCAACCCCGGAACUGCCUUUGAUACUGGGUGUCUAGAGUAUGGAAGAGGUGAGUGGAAUUCCGAGUGUAGAGGUGAAAUUCGUAGAUAUUCGGAGGAACACCAGUGGCGAAGGCGGCUCACUGGUCCAUUACUGACGCUGAGGUGCGAAAGCGUGGGGAGCAAACAGGAUUAGAUACCCCCGUAGUCCCUGUCUCUUAUAC
rnacentral:rRNA from 1 species